GGAAUAUUGGACAAUGGGCGCAAGCCUGAUCCAGCCAUGCCGCGUGUGUGAAGAAGGCCUUCGGGUUGUAAAGCACUUUUGUACGGGAAGAAAAGCACUCGGUUAAUACCCGGGUGUCAUGACGGUACCGUAAGAAUAAGCACCGGCUAACUUCGUGCCAGCAGCCGCGGUAAUACGGAGGGUGCGAGCGUUAAUCGGAAUUACUGGGCGUAAAGCGCGCGUAGGCGGUUUGUUAAGUCAGCUGUGAAAGCCCCGGGCUCAACCUGGGAACUGCAGUUGAUACUGGCCGACUAGAGUACGAGAGAGGGAGGUAGAAUUCCAUGUGUAGCGGUGAAAUGCGUAGAUAUAUGGAGGAAUACCGGUGGCGAAGGCGGCCUCCUGGCUCGAUACUGACGCUGAGGUGCGAAAGCGUGGGGAUCAAAC
rnacentral:rRNA from 1 species